rnacentral:rRNA from 1 species
UAGUGGCGAACGGGUGAGUAACACGUGGGCAAUCUGCCCUGCACUCUGGGACAAGCCCUGGAAACGGGGUCUAAUACCGGAUAUGACCAUUGGGGGCAUCCCUGGUGGUGGAAAGCUCCGGCGGUGCAGGAUGAGCCCGCGGCCUAUCAGCUUGUUGGUGGGGUGAUGGCCUACCAAGGCGACGACGGGUAGCCGGCCUGAGAGGGCGACCGGCCACACUGGGACUGAGACACGGCCCAGACUCCUACGGGAGGCAGCAGUGGGGAAUAUUGCACAAUGGGCGAAAGCCUGAUGCAGCGACGCCGCGUGAGGGAUGACGGCCUUCGGGUUGUAAACCUCUUUCAGCAGGGAAGAAGCGUGAGUGACGGUACCUGCAGAAGAAGCGCCGGCUAACUACGUGCCAGCAGCCGCGGUAAUACGUAGGGCGCGAGCGUUGUCCGGAAUUAUUGGGCGUAAAGAGCUCGUAGGCGGCUUGUCGCGUCGGUUGUGAAAGCCCGGGGCUUAACCCCGGGUCUGCAGUCGAUACGGGCAGGCUAGAGUUCGGUAGGGGAGAUCGGAAUUCCUGGUGUAGCGGUGAAAUGCGCAGAUAUCAGGAGGAACACCGGUGGCGAAGGCGGAUCUCUGGGCCGAUACUGACGCUGAGGAGCGAAAGCGUGGGGAGCGAACAGGAUUAGAUACCCUGGUAGUCCACGCCGUAAACGUUGGGCACUA